rnacentral:lncRNA from 1 species
UAGAAUGCAACUGAUGUGCCAACCAAGCCAGUGCCUACCAAGAAGCUCGAGCAUUGCGCAGACUUAUACAGUCUCCUAGUAUACAGCAUUCUUUUUGAAAUCGAGAAGUAGUGGCGCGAUUAUUCGCCAAGGCGAAGAUUUGUUGGAACAAGUGGCUCUUACAAGUUGCAUUUUAACAACUUGGGCACUGAGAUUCGGUAGUUGGGUACUUCCAUCCCUUCAGACCUAGAGAACCCAUGAUGCUUGGUUGGAGAUUGAUUGUGCAAGAUGCCCAAAAUAGCAACUCACCCAUGACCAAAAAUUGGGUUGCAAGUUUCUCAUACUAUAUACGUGUCCGCAUUUUGCACAAAGAAUUGAUACACAGCCAAUAAGAGUGAAAGUAAGGCUUCAUAAAGAAUUUUUUAUUUUUUAUUUUAUUUAUUUAUUUAUUUAUUUUUUUGAGAGCAUUGAUGAUGAAGAGUGUGAGCCUUUCUUAUUUAGUCUUCUUAUAAUUUCCAUUUUUUAAUGGCGAAACAUCAGUCUCCCCCCUCUGUUGAUGUAGGCAAAAUUGUAAAUGUGAAAAUUUUGCUAUUAGUUUUAGCUAUUAUUAUGCUUCUAUUCGUGUUAUCUCACUUAGUGCCGUCAUAAUCGCUAAGCAUUUCGACCAAAUUAGGAUUUUUUUCUUAAUAGCUGACUCAUAAAAUAUUUCUCCUUCUGUUGGUCUAGCACAUAAACACUACAUAGAAAAUUUCAGCUUCUGGGCUUUCCUCUUGAAUCCUAAGUUUUAGUGAGGAAUUUUGUCAUAUUAGAUCUCAAGGAAAACAUGAGGGAAAUUCGUGUACGACUAAAUAAGGGAGACUUUUGACAAUUUAAUAUAUUCCUUUACCUUUUUGUUUUCUUUUUUCCUAACUGAGAUUCAGUAUCCAAACUUAGCCCUAAUGUUGUGGGUAAAUAGAACAGCUUGCAUUCUUCUCAGAAAUCAGAAGGCACAAUUGAAAUGAAUUUUUUGAAGGUGGAAAAGAUGAUAAAGAAUUAUAGAAGUAUUAACAGGGAAUCUCUGAAGAAUUGAGGUAGUAAUCUCUCUCUUUGAAUCGCCUCAUUUUAGCGGUUAAUGCCAAGGAAAAUUUCUCAUCCUGCCUGUGUUGAUUAUUUUUUAUUCGAACUAGAUUUUGUAGAUCAGGAUGAUAGCUCAAGCUAGUUGGAGAGCACAAUGUUGCGUUGUCCUCUGCUUGCUUAGACUUAGAGAUUCAGCGUGAUUGGUUUUAGUUUGUUAGGUUGCAAAGUAGAUACAUAUGUGAUUUGGCAUAGUGAUUUGAGAAUCAAGGAAAAUGAAAGGGGAGUGAAGUAGUUUGGGAUAAGCUAUACACU